CGGGAGCUGAGCGGUCAAGAUGUGUGACUUCACUGAGGACCAGACCGCAGAGUUCAAGGAGGGCCAGAUCCUGUACAGCCAGUGUGGGGACGUGAUGAGGGCCCUGGGCUAGAUCCCACCAACGCUGAGGUCCUCAAGGUCCUGGGGAACUCCAGGGGUGAUGAGAUGAAUGUGAAGGUGCUGGACUUUGAGCACUUCCUGCCCAUGCUCCAGACUGUGGCCAAGAACAAGGACCAGGGCACCUAUGAGGAUUAUGUUGAAGGACUUCAGGCAUUUGACAAGGAAGGGAACGGCACAGUGAUGGGUGCGGAAAUCCAGCAUGUCCUUGUCACUCUGGGCGAGACGAUGACAGAGGAAGAAGUAGAGAUGCUGGUGGCAGGGCAUGAGGACAGCAAUGGUUGUAUCAACUAUGCAGAGCUGGUCUGUAUGGUGCUGAAUGGCUGAGAACU